rnacentral:rRNA from 1 species
UACGUAGGGUGCAAGCGUUGUCCGGAAUUAUUGGGCGUAAAGAGCUCGUAGGCGGUUUGUCACGUCUGCUGUGAAAACUGGAGGCUCAACCUCCAGCUUGCAGUGGGUACGGGCAGACUAGAGUGCGGUAGGGGAGAUUGGAAUUCCUGGUGUAGCGGUGAAAUGCGCAGAUAUCAGGAGGAACACCGAUGGCGAAGGCAGGUCUCUGGGCUGUAACUGACGCUGAGGAGCGAAAGCAUGGGGAGCGAACAGG